AACAUCAGCGGCCGUAGGGACACACCCGCAGCGUGGAGAGCCGUCCACUUGUGCUUGUACUCCUUCAGUGUGUAGGAGGCGUGAUGCUGCAGCAGCACCUCUACACAUGUGGAGAAUCCCCGCUCAGCAGCCAGACAGUUGAAAGAAAUCUCCAGGAGCUGAAAAAGAGGCAGCUGCAUAAUGGACGGCACUGUAACCUUUACUAUUCUUCAGAGUUGGGUUUCCUCCGUUGUCAAGCAAGAACUCUAAACACCUGAACACAGAGUGAAAGCCCCAGCCCAAGCAGAUAGGCGACGACAUCUAACUGUCCACUGGCAGCUGCUGCAUGGAGCGGAACGUAACCACGUUUGUCCCUGCACGUCACAUCAGCACCACGAGUCGCCAGAAGCUUCACAACAUCCACGUGUCCUUAGAAGAGCCCAGUGGAUUGCCUGCCUGUCCUUCUUAUCUUUGGCACAGACACUGGCACCCUUGUUCAGGAGCAAAUUCACCAUCUGCAGAGAGACAGUAUUAGCAUGUCAGUCACAUGUCAUCAUCUGAGCCCAAUCAACAAUAACCG